GGCUAGUAGUUUAUUUCUCCGCUUACUGUUUGACAGUGACAUACUUAUAGGAUCCAACUUUAAUAGCUGGUAUCGAAAGUUAAAAAUUAUUCCAGAGCUUGAAAGGAUCCUGUAUGUUCUUACGGAUCCAGCACCUGAAGUUCUCAAGCCCAAUGCAUGUGAUGCGAUUAGAGUCGCUUAUCAGAAGUAGCUUAAUAACCAAAC
rnacentral:lncRNA from 1 species